rnacentral:lncRNA from 1 species
AUUAUGGAAACAUUUCAUCAGACCUGGCAUGUCUGAGAUACCCAGGGUGAUUAGGGGUUUGACCAAAAGAAGUCUAGUGAGAAUAAAUUACACCAGAGGCCUGCUUUCAUUAUUAUGGGCCAAGCAAAGGUCACGGAUAACCCAGCCAGACUUAUGCUAUUACUCAGCCAUUGUGUAGUGGGAAACAUAAUGGCCACUUCUGUUAGGGACAUUGACCUUAUUCCAGCAGCCCAAAGAACGGCCAGCUCUGAGAGAUGUCUUGGCUGACGCUAUACAUCACGAUUGUGAUGCCACUGUCUUACCACUAGAGGGUGUGGCAGUCCUUUCGUGGCAGAAGUUAAAAGGGGCUGGGAUGCUUCCAUCAGGCUGUACAGAGAUGUUCUAUGUACAGUUAAAACCCGAGUAAUAGCGGUGGAGAGAUUCUUUGUGCAUUGGGAUGCGAGGGGAAAGACAAGAAGAGAGCAAAGAGCCUGCUGAUGUGGCUAUACUCACUUCUAGUGACAUAUUAACAGCUUGAAACAUGUAGUUGGAUUUUGAGUAUGCCAUUGCUGGGGGGGAUGUUUGUUUUUAAAUGCUCCUAACAGACUCAGCUUUUGAAAAGUGCUUAUCAUUACAUGGACGAUUUCUUGACCAGGGAUUGCUUUUCUAAAGGUAGUAUGGGGAAAAUGAAUAUUCAAGAUGAACUAUGGAAAUAAUGUUUAAAGGUUGGCGUGUAAAUAGCUUCCUAAAAUACCAUUUGUGUAUCCAUCAAGACCUGGGGGAGGGGGAGGGGGCUGUGUAUGCCUUGUGCAGAAAGAAGACGUGGCCGUGAAGGACAGAGUCUCUCCCCUAUCCCCGCGCCCCAUAAUCAAACACAAGCUAGUUAGUCUUGGCUAGUAGCUGGGAUUUACCACUCAUACUCUGAGGAGGGGCAGAAGCUCCAAUAAAAGUAAAUUAGCAAAGCAGAAGUAGUACUCUUUCAUCCUUGGAGGUGGUUUGGAAUUUUAGGUAGAAUAAGGAUAUACUUGAAAUUAUGGUAAUUCUUUAGUGCCCAAUAACAUAAGACAGUGUUACUGUUAGAAAGAGUCUUUCUUAUAAGCUGUCUAAUAGAGAAGGUGUAUGCCUAUUAGAUAUUAGCAGUGAAGUUCCUUCACUAUUGGGUGGAUUAUUAGGUAUAAAAAAUAAUUAUCAACCAGGCAAAGUACUUUGAUUCCUGAUGUCAUCCCACAUGGGUCCAGGUGUUACACAGCUCUGCCCAGCCCAGCAGGAAAGCCAGGUGGGACCAGUGUGUCUGUUAUGAAUGCGCUAACUGCAUUCUUGACUGAGGAACAGUCAAGUCAUUUCUGGGGAAGGUCUUCAGCUGAGCUCUCAGCUUUUGGGAGGAAGGAGGGAGGGGAACCCACUGAGCUGGCCUUCUCGUGUGGAGGGGGAGGGGCGGCAGGUCACGUGCACCAGCUGACCCAGCAGUGCCUGUGCUUCCCUGUAGCCCUGGCAUUUCAUUCCAUAGGGUCCUAGGUCCCAACUUCCCCUCCUAUGGUUUGUGUCAAAUGUGCUUUACCUGAUUGAAUCCAAACAUCCCGAGAUGUCACAUGCUGAUUUCUCGUGGGGAUGAAUACGUACAUGUUUGCAGUCAUGUUGUGAGAAGUCAGAUGUGUGAGCUGGAAAACGCUAGGGGCAGGGAAUAAUAAAAAGGAAAACCUUUCUGCUUCCUGCAGUGGGAACUGACCGUGUGGUCUUAAUAGCCUUUUGUACACAUAUCUACAAACCGGAUAACUUCCCCAACCAGUGCUUGCCCUUGGAAUUGUCUCUAAAUACAUCAAGCAUACAAUAAAAAAAUACUGAA